GAGAUAUUCCGUUAGCAAACACCGAAAUCAUCAUGGAUACUUCUUGCUUAAUCCCUCUUGGUGGCGUGCGUUGUCUUUGCUAAGAUGGCAAUUUCUGAAGGUGAGGCAUCACCAUUCUGCGAUUGCAGUUCUAUCAUGAGACCUCCGUGUUGCUUCCCAGCCUAGCUCUAUCAGGAGCCGGUCAACCAUAACGAAUAACACAUGAAGUUGGAAACGCUCAGAAUAACAUUCCACGAAAAUGAAUGUUAUUGUUUAUAUUGUUAACCCUUUGAUCUAAAAGACGAAUACUAUUUUAUAUGUAUAUUCCACUGUUGCACAUGAAAAACAUGUA